GUGCUGUAGGGUGUAAAUAUACGUCUGUGUGUGUAUCCGUUCUUGCCUCUGUGUGUGUGUGUGUGUGAGAGUGAGCGCGCGUAUGUAAAUGAGUGUGUGUGAGUGAGUGAAUGAGAGAAGUAGCGCUCUCUAAUGUUUGAAGGUUAGGAAAAAAAUACUCAGCACCGCCGCUGUCUUCUCGCUCUCCAACUUAAAGGUUCGUAGUUUACGUACGUUUGUUUGCUGCUUCGUCAUCUUGUGUAUCACCAUCCUCUUAAGAGAACAUACAGAGAAUCAGACAGAGAGACGGACAUUGUCGACUGGCGAUUGUACGGUUUGUGUUACCCUCUGGGUCACUUUAUUACUUCUUUUAUCAAAUUCGCCUUGCUCGUUCGUCCUACGAACAGCGAAACGAAACCAAAAAACGGUUGGCUACUGUAUUAUUUACUACCUGGAUUUAAUACAUACAAGCACGCACGCACGCUCACACAUAUUUAUAUACACAUAAUCAGACACGCAUACACACAUAUUUUAUACAUUACAACAACCACAACCACGACGUCCUCAAGGCGGAGUAACUCUUCUAAAAAAACACGAUGUCCGAUGACUGGCAAUAGCAUAAGGUCUGACCUGUUGGUCGGCAACCGUGGUCAGUGCAUGACGACAACGACCGAUGGGAGACAACAAGGCCUGGUCACUCCAGGCCGUAACAACACCACCACCACUACUACUACUAUUACCACUAACAACAACAGCACCAGUAAAAACACUAGUGUUAGUAGUAGUAGCAUCAACAAUAACGCUACCAGUGAUACUAAUAUUAGCUAUAGUAGUAGUAGUAGUGUUGGUGGCGGUAGUAGUAGUUGUAAUAACAACACCAGUAUGUCGCAAUUACUUUCGUCUGUAGAGAAUGGCGACUUGGACGGUGCUUCUGGUGGCUUUAACGCGGAUUUGACCUUGCUUCUACCGGAUCACCCGAAAAAUGGACGGCGCGCGGAUGGCAAUGAUAACACCAGUCUAGGGCUGACUGUUGCGGCUGGGUGUGAAAUACCGCCGAGAGAUAACAGCAGCGUCAACAACAACACGCUCGUCACGUUUGGGACUAGUACGGUACUAACGAUGGUCGACAGGGAAGACGGCAUCAGAGCAAGUGGCAGCAAUCACAACAGCAGCAGUAAUAGUAGUAGUAGUUGUAAUAAUUACAAUAACACAAAUGUUAAAAGCGGCAAUAAUAACGAUCUUAACGAGAAGACGAAUAACAGCGGUCUUUAUUACGCAAACGGAUCGUCAUUAUUCAGUCUGGACGAGGACAGUAAUUCGCUGUCAUCGGGUGAUCCGAGAGCCAGGAUCUCUUCCUCUCAUAGCACCACUUUGUUCGGAAACAGUGGCGCGAUAGCAGCGGCGGUGGAAACCCCCCCCCGCCGCCGCCGCCGCCGCCAUCUUCGUCGUCUCUACUGUUAUUACUACUAAUACUACGACUACUACUAUUACCGCCUCCUCCUGUUCCACCGCCGUUACAACCAACAGCAGCCCCGCCGCCGCCGUCAUUACUUCCUCUUUUGACAACAACCACUGCCAACAGAUACAAGACUUUUACUCGAACCCGCACCAACACUAUCAUUACAACAACACUAACAAACAUAACAACGGUAUCAUUAAUAAGAAUAACAUCAACAGUAGCUGCUGUUGUUGCUGUUGUUAUCUCUCUGCUAGCAGUAGUAGUGACUGUAGUGCUGGUAUUAGUGGGGGUGAUAAUAAUAAUACUAAUAAUAAUAGCAACAACAGUACAACUAAUGCUAGUAACAUCCAUCACUCUGCCAUGGUAACUACCAACACCAGUAACAAUAACAACAGUGUCUGCGCUUUCACAGCUACUACAAAUAAUAGUAAAAAUUGUCUAACAAACAACAACAGUAAUUAUAUAGCAGCGUUGAAUAAUGUCACCACCACCAGUGGCUUACACGCACCUUUACUAACACCUAUAACAGACUUCGACACUAACGCCACAAACAGCUACUAUUACGACAACAAGACUACUACUACUACUACCGUUACUAACCACAGCAACACUACUACUACCACCUCGUCACCGGUAUUGGCCGGGUCGACGACAACGACCACGACGAUUACCACUUCUACUACCUGCAGCAGUGGCAGUGGCGGCACACUGCCCUUGUCGGCGGCACUCGUGCCUCUGUCGUCGUCGUCUGACAUCAACUCACAACCGCAACAACAACACAACUCGCAACUUCAUCCGCACCAUCGUCAUCACCACCCGCAUCACCACCACCACCAUCACAACCACCAUCAUCACAACAACAACCACUACCAUCAUCACCACUCUCAACAACAACAACACAACAUCAGGCCAUCAACAUGCCAGUUUGCCGAAGUAACGGCAACCGAGGACAAAAAUCUCAAAGAACUCCUGCUUCUCCAUAUAGACUUCAUUCACCACCAGCAGGACUUGCUUGCACAGAAGGACAGACAUAUAAGUGAUCUCAAGUCGGAAAACGAAACGGUAGG
rnacentral:lncRNA from 1 species